GGAAUAAAUAGAGGAAUUUUAUGUAUAGAUACACAAAAAUUUGUAUGAACAUCGUAGACAGUCCACUACUGACUAGCAAUAGAACAGAAGAAAGAAAUUUACAUGUUUCAAAAGUUCACUAUUUUGUCACUUGUAAGAUAUAGGACCGGAUCUAGACACUGCAAACCUUGGCAAUGGACUGGGACCUGUGCUUGCUGAUGUUGAGCUGUCCACGUGUUUUAAUUUUCGAGUUGCACUGUAUUCCAAUGGUCCAGAACGCCUAACAUUUCGAGGCCUAUUUUCAAUGCUUCCACUUUCUGUAUCAUAUAGUUGAUCCUGGGCAUGGCUUGAGGAUGGCUUGAAA
rnacentral:misc_RNA from 1 species